AUAUUUUAUGGCUGAUGAAAUAUCAAAAUGGGCUCCUUUGUUAACGCAUUUUCAAAUUAGCCCUUAAGGUAUCGUUUGGUUCGGGAAUAAGCAAAAAGUGGAUAUUCCAGAGAUAGAUAUAAAUUAAGGUAUAAGCGGGGAUUAGAUGAAUUUUGCGUUUGGAUGAAAAUUGAGUAUUCCCGAGAAUAAGAAAAAUAGCGUUUGGUUACCUAAGAUGGGAUAAGAAUUAAAGUGAGUAUUUAUAAAUAAAAAAUAAUGAUAUUAUUUUUUUCUUUAUAUUAGAAUUUAAAUUUUUAUAUUUUAUAUUUAUAUUUUAAAAUUUAAAAUAUAAACUUUUAAAGUUUAAAAAUUAAAAUUAAAAUUUAAAAUUUUAAAAUCUCAAAUUUAUAAUUUUAAAAAAUUAAUUUUUAAAAUUUUGAACUUUAUCUGCAAACAACAAAAUCAACUAAAUAUAUUACUUCCUACUUCAUCUGCAAACAACAAAAUCAACUAAAAU
rnacentral:lncRNA from 1 species